AAAGAAAGAGUUGACUUAUAACGGCUAAUUGCAGAAGUCGUCUCCCUCCCGGAGAAGAGACUCUGCCUUUGUCAACCUUCAGUUUCAGGGGAAGAAGACGAAGAUACAAGAUAAUGGCUACUACUCCGAUUAAACAAGUAUAAGCUCGAAGAAUCAAAUAAUCUUCUCUCAGCAUGUCUGGAACAAUGCGAACAAUUCAAGCUUUUGAACUUUUCAUUUCCUCAAUUUCCUUACAAAUACGGGAUUCGUUGUGGAGUAUGUCGUUAUCUGAGAAAGUAAACAGAGUUUUUACUCCACAAGUGUUUUUGAUUUCUCGGGAAAAACCCUUGAGAGUAAAGUCAUGGCCUUUGCACGCCAAGUGUUUGUGUUAUUGUCUGUGUUAGUGGCGUGUUGGGGACUGCAGAGAUGUGAGAGUGCUGGGAAGUUCAGCUUCGAAGUUCACCACAUGUUCUCUGAUACGGUCAAGCAGAAUCUUGGGUUUGGCGAUCUAGUUCCGGAAAAGGGAAGUUUGGAGUACUUCAAGCUUUUGGCCCAGCGCGAUCGGUUGAUCAGAGGUCGAGGUCUUUCCUCCAACAACGAAGAAGCCCCUGUUACUUUCAUCCUGGGAAAUCGCACGGUUUCAAUCGACUUUUUGGGAUCCCUGCAUUACGCCAAUGUCUCUGUGUGAACACCGGCCACUUGGUUCUUGGUGGCUCUGGACACCGGCAGCGAUUUGUUUUGGUUGCCUUGCAAUUGUGGGACUACUUGUAUCCGUGACUUGGAGGACAUUGGACUUUCACAGAGUCUACCACUCAAUCUAUACAGUCCCAAUGCAUCUUCUACAAGUUCAAGCAUUACAUGCAGUGACAAGCGUUGUUUUGGAUAGGGAGGGUGUUCUUCUCCUGCAAGUGUUUGCCCUUAUCAGAUCCCGUACCUUUUUAACACCACAUCCACCAGAGGGACAUUGUUUGAGGAUGUAUUGCAUUUGGUCACAGAGGACGAGGGUUUAGAGCCUGUCAAAGCUAAUAUCACGCUUGGUUGUGGUCAGAAUCAGACGGGUUUGUAUCGGAAAAGUUUGGCUGUGAACGGUCUUCUUGGGCUUGGUAUGAAAGAUUAUUCAGUUCCGAGUGUGCUGGCAAAAGAAAAUAUCACUGCAAACUCUUUCUCAAUGUGUUUCGGGAAUAUUAUUGACUUUAUCGGAAGAAUCAGCUUCGGUGACAGAGGCCACACAGACCAGCUACAGACACCACUAGUUCCUAUUGAACCAAAUCCGACAUAUGCUGUGAAUGUGACCGAAGUAACAGUGGGGGGAGAUAUUCUCGAGAUUCAGAUGCUAGCUCUCUUCGACACUGGCACAUCAUUUACACACUUACUGGAGCCAGCAUAUGGUCUUCUUACCAAAGCUUUUGACGAUCAUGUUACUGAUAAGCGACGCCCGAUCGAUCCUGAGAUUCCAUUUGAGUUCUGUUACGACACAAGUCCAAAUAUUAAAAGCUUUAAAUUCCCCAGAGUAAAUAUGACUUUUGUAGGAGGAUCCAAACUGACUCUGAGAGAUCCGCUGUUCACAGUGUGGAAUGAGGACAAUUCCGCCAUGUACUGCUUGGCUAUUCUGAAGAGCGUGGAUGUCAAGCUUAACAUUUUCGGACAGAACUUGAUGUCAGGCUACCGCAUUGUAUUUGACCGGGAGAGAAUGAUUUUGGGUUGGAAGCGGUCUGAUUGUUUCGAAGAUGAAAGCUUGGAAUCUACCACUCCACCACCAGAGAUCGAAGCUCCUCCACCAAGUGUAUCCACGCCACCACCUCUUCUUCCUCCUCCUGCUACUUCUGCUACUCCACCCCCGAUGAAUCCUCGUAACUCUACCAGAAACUCUGGCACAGGCGGUUCAGCCAACCUCAGCCAUCUUGCAGCUCAACUCCUACUUCUCCUACCACUUUUGGCCUUCUUCUGACUCACAAAAGUUCGUUUUCUGUUGGUUUGACCAUUUAUGUUCAUUUAAUAAUAAACUUCGUUUGAUAAGCAAAAUAAUGUUCAUUGGUUUGAAAGUGGUAAUCUUAUCUCUCUGUUACAAUGUAUGUUGACUUGUCUUAAAGAGCUAAUAUUUUUCUCA